rnacentral:rRNA from 1 species
UUCGCAAUGCCCGAAAGGGUGACGAAGCGACGCCGCGUGCGGGAAGAAGGCCUUCGGGUUGUAAACCGCUGUCGGGAGUUAAGAAAUGCAAGGGUGUUAACAGCAUCCUUGCUUGACUAAGGCUCCGGAGGAAGCCACGGCUAACUCUGUGCCAGCAGCCGCGGUAAUACAGAGGCGGCAAGCGUUGUUCGGAAUUAUUGGGCGUAAAGAGCACGUAGGCGGCUGUGUAUGUCGGUUGUGAAAGCCUUCCGCUCAACGGGAGAACGGCAUCCGAUACUGCAUGGCUUGAGUGCGGGAGGGGAGAGUGGAACUUCUGGUGGAGCGGUGAAAUGCGUAGAUAUCAGAAGGAACACCGGCGGCGAAGGCGACUCUCUGGCCCGUAACUGACGCUGAGUGUGCGAAAGCUAGGGGAGCAAACGGGAUUAGAUACCCCGGUAGUCCUAGCCGUAAACGAUGGGCACUAAGUAGAGGGGUUUU